AUGGCAGAUGCCGAACCUUUUGACGCCAGCCUGGACCGGCUCGAGGCAGCCAUGGCCAACCUCACUGCAGUGGAUUCUGAUCUCCAUGCAUCUCACCUUCAUUUAGACACGCUCCACGCUUCCAUGCUCUUCAAAUUAGAUCUCAUUAGCCUGAAACUGGAUACCCUGAUCUCCCGCCAACGCUCCCCGAAUGGCUUAUACAUUUUUAACCCUGGAUCCUGGAUAUUUACAAAUGAUGGCUUUGUGUUGAUCAUGGAAGAUGAAGUGAAAUUUUACAAAAACUUGAGUGUUGAGUUUACAACGAGUGUUUAUCUGUCACACGAAGCGGUCAAUGUUGUUGCUGCUCGACUUAGUAGGGUGGAACCCUCGCUUAGAAAGGAGGUAGUUGAAUACAUGUGUGACACAGAUUCUCAUCUCUGGAGUAUGAGGCGAACUUCUACAGUCCGAUGACAGUGUUUUCUGGAAUUCUCUCAGUUGUAAGAUGGUUAGGGGAAGUUUCCACAUGGAAGCAUCCUAUAACAACAGUGCUGGUGCACAUUCUUUUUCUGAUGCUUGUGUGUUUCCCUGAACUUAUACUGCCAACCGUGUUUCUAUACAUGUUUGUCAUCGGCAUGUGGAAUUGGAGGUUCCGGCCAAGGUGGCCUCCUCACAUGAACAUCAGACUCUCCUAUGCAGAAAGGGUGACCCCGGAUGAGCUUGAUGAGGAAUUUGACACAUUCCCCACCUCAAAGAGCCCCGACAUUCUACGUUGGAGGUACGAUCGGUUAAGAAGUGUGGCUGGGAGGAUCCAGAGUGUUGUUGGAGAUUUAGCUACUCAAGGAGAGAGGAUCCAAGCUCUUGUGAACUGGCGUGAUCCUCGUGCCACUGCCAUGUUCAUGGUAUUUUGCUUCGUGGCUGCUAUUGCGUUGUAUGUCACACCCUUCCAGCUGCCUAUUCUUCUGACUGGAUUCUACUUGAUGAGGCACCCCAUGCUUCGAAGCAAGGUGCCGCCUGCUCCGGUUAAUUUCUUCCGCAGGUUGCCUUCUCUCACAGACAGCAUGCUGUAAAUGGACACUCUUGGUGUGUUCUUGAAUCUUGAAAACUUAUCUGCUGCUGCCAGUGUUUGAAUCUGGCAUUAGUUUUUGGCAGUGGUUGUAGAAUCAUUGGAGCUAUCUCACUUUGUGUUGGUUUAUUGAGUGUUGACUGUUGAUGCAACUGUAUACUUAGUGUGGUAAAACUCCAAUGUAGUUUUCAUGUUAAUCAGCGUUUGUGAACUUAUGUUCUAUGCUUGAAUGGCUCGUGACUAUGUUAAAUGAUCUGUCUAAGCUCUUAAGUGACUAA